rnacentral:lncRNA from 1 species
GUAGAUUUCUUGGAAACAAUACAGUCAUGCCACCAAAAUUUACUAGAACACGUGGGCGUGGUGGUAGGGGUUGAUGUAGAGGCAGAGGGAGCUCUGAUAGUUACGAAUCCUGAUCAAGCACAGAUAUCGGACCGACCAAUCCAACCUAAAUUACAACUUAUUGCUGGUCCAUAAAGCUCAAAUGACGAUAUUUUAGUGAACGAUAGCAGAGAUGACACAUAUG